AUGAAACACAAAGACCCAAAGAACCACGUCUGCGGUUGGUUACAGACUGAAGCACCCUUCUGUCCUGAGGGUGCAGUCCACGGGGGAGCAGUGCUGGGGCUGAGGAGAGGAAAAGGCAGGACCUUGAGCUUUUUGAUCCCAUCAAGCUUCAGACAUGUUUCUCAAAGCAUAAGCAGUUUAUUCUCUUUUUCUCCAAAAAAAAAAAAAGGUUUUUUUUCUUUACAUGAAAUGUAUGUCAGGGAAUGGAGGAUGUUGCUUUUCCCCACACAGUCACAUGGAGCUAUUUUCUCUCUGCGGCAGGAAGAUGUUCUUGACCUGUGGGUGUUGUCCCAUAAAAGAGUAAAGGCCAUCGUGAUGCCAGAGCCAGGCCAGCACAUUUCGAAUGACUUUUCAAAUGACAACGAUAAUCUUCGCAUGUGGGUGAUGUCAUUCUCAAGAGGAGCCCUAUGCUGGUUGGCACCUGUGGAUCAUGUCUCUUGGACCUUUUACCGGCAAAGAGUCUAAAACACAAACAGAAUCUAUUGUUUUCGUCUUCCUGGUCAGUGGUGCUUCCUGCAGAGAAGGCAUUAAAAUGUCUCAGGUCCGAGUACAUCACUUCUUUCAGCUAACAGCAAACAUGAACCACUGUUCAACAUAAACUCUACUUGCAUUAGAUUUGGUUGCUGAAUUACCAGCAUCAUCAUGGAUUUGCUUUCAACAGCAGAUUUGCGUGAUAUCCAGUGG
rnacentral:lncRNA from 1 species